rnacentral:rRNA from 1 species
AAGAGACAGCAGUAGCCGCGGUAAUACAGAGGGUGCGAGCGUUAAUCGGAUUUACUGGGCGUAAAGCGUGCGUAGACGGCUUCUUAAGUCGGAUGUGAAAUCCCUGAGCUUAACUUAGGAAUUGCAUUCGAUACUGGGAAGCUAGAGUAUGGGAGAGGAUGGUAGAAUUCCAGGUGUAGCGGUGAAAUGCGUAGAGAUCUGGAGGAAUACCGAUGGCGAAGGCAGCCAUCUGGCCUAAUACUGACGCUGAGGUACGAAAGCAUGGGGAGCAAACAGGAUUAGAUACCCCCGUAGUCCCUGUCUCUUAUAC